rnacentral:misc_RNA from 1 species
GAUGAAGAACGCAGCGAAAUGCGAUAAGUAGUGUGAAUUGCAGAAUUCAGUGAAUCAUCGAAUCUUUGAACGCACAUUGCGCCCCUUGGUAUUCCAUGGGGCAUGCCUGUCGAGCGUCAUUUGUACCUUCAAGCUCUGCUUGGUGUUGGGUGUUUGUCUCGCCUCUGCGUGUAGACUCGCCUCAAAACAAUUGGCAGCCGGCGUAUUGAUUUCGGAGCGCAGUACAUCUCGCGCUUUGCACUCAUAACGACGACGUCCAAAAGUACAUUUUUACACUCUUGACCUCGGAUCAGGUAGGGAUACCCGCUGAACUUAAGCAUAUCAAUAAGCGGAGGA